rnacentral:rRNA from 1 species
CUGGAAUUCCUGGUGUAGCGGUGAAAUGCGCAGAUAUCAGGAGGAACACCGAUGGCGAAGGCAGGUCUCUGGGCAUUAACUGACGCUGAGGAGCGAAAGCAUGGGGAGCGAACAGGAUUAGAUACCCUGGUAGUCCAUGCCGUAAACGUUGGGCACUAGGUGUGGGGGACAUUCCACGUUUUCCGCGCCGUAGCUAACGCAUUAAGUGCCCCGCCUGGGGAGUACGGCCGCAAGGCUAAAACUCAAAGGAAUUGACGGGGGCCCGCACAAGCGGCGGAGCAUGCGGAUUAAUUCGAUGCAACGCGAAGAACCUUACCAAGGCUUGACAUGGACCGGACCGCCGCAGAAAUGUGGUUUCCCCUUUGGGGCCGGUUCACAGGUGGUGCAUGGUUGUCGUCAGCUCGUGUCGUGAGAUGUUGGGUUAAGUCCCGCAACGAGCGCAACCCUCGUUCCAUGUUGCCAGCGCGUAAUGGCGGGGACUCAUGGGAGACUGCCGGGGUCAACUCGGAGGAAGGUGGGGACGACGUCAAAUCAUCAUGCCCCUUAUGUCUUGGGCUUCACGCAUGCUACAAUGGCCGGUACAAAGGGUUGCGAUACUGUGAGGUGGAGCUAAUCCCAAAAAGCCGGUCUCAGUUCGGAUUGGGGUCUGCAACUCGACCCCAUGAAGUCGGAGUCGCUAGUAAUCGCAGAUCAGCAACGCUGCGGUGAAUACGUUCCCGGGCCUUGUACACACCGCCCGUCAAGUCACGAAAGUUGGUAACACCCGAAGCCGGUGGCCUAACCCCUUGUGGGAGGGAGCU